UACAGAGGGGGCAAGCGUUGUUCGGAAUUACUGGGCGUAAAGGGCGCGUAGGCGGCCUGUUAAGUCGAACGUGAAAUCCCCGGGCUCAACCCGGGAACUGCGUCCGAUACUGGCAGGCUUGAAUCCGGGAGAGGGAUGCGGAAUUCCAGGUGUAGCGGUGAAAUGCGUAGAUAUCUGGAGGAACACCGGUGGCGAAGGCGGCGAUCCUGACCGGC
rnacentral:rRNA from 1 species